AUGGCAAGCCACCUUAAAGUUCAGCAACAGAAACAAAAGCCGAAUCUACCGCCGGGGUUCAGGUUUCACCCGAAAGACAUGGAGAUCAUCAUCUUCUACCUGAUCCCCAAGGUUCUGAAAAAAGACUUCGACACGACGGUGGUCAGGGAGGUGGAUCUGAAAAAAUACGAGCCAUGGAAUCUCCCAAAUGAGGUAAACAUGGGGGAGAAGGAGCGAUACUUCUUCUCCCAGAAGGACCUCAAGUACCCCAACGGGAUACAGACCAACCGGGCCAUGAAUGCUGGCUAUUGGAAGGCUACCGGAAAGGACAAGGAGAUCAUUCUACCGCCGACCAAAAGUCCCAUCGGCAUGAAGAAGACACUGGUCUUCUAG
rnacentral:rRNA from 1 species